rfam:Candidatus Kaiserbacteria bacterium RIFCSPHIGHO2_01_FTLL_54_36 rifcsphigho2_01_scaffold_1445, whole genome shotgun sequence.
GCUCUCGUCGUUCAAUGGAUAGGACACUUCCCUGCGAAGGAAGAAAUGCAGGUUCGAUUCCUGCCGAGGGCA